rnacentral:miRNA from 1 species
UCACCGGGUAGACAUUCAUUAUA